rnacentral:tRNA from 1 species
GGGCCUGUAGCUCAGCGGUAGAGCGGCCGGCUCAUAACCGGUUGGUCGGUGGUUCGAAUCCGCCCAGGCCCACCA